GAUGAACGCUAGCGACAGGCUUAACACAUGCAAGUCGAGGGGCAGCACGGGAGUAGCAAUACAACUGGUGGCGACCGGCGCACGGGUGAGUAACGCGUAUGCAACCUACCUAUCAGAGGGGAAUAACCCGGCGAAAGUCGGACUAAUACCGCAUAAAACAGGGGCACCGCAUGGUGAUAUUUGUUAAAGAAAUUCGCUGAUAGAUGGGCAUGUCGUUCCAUUAGGUAGUUGGUGAGGUAACGGCUCACCAAGCCGACGAUGGAUAGGGGAACUGAGAGGUUGGUACCCCACACUGGUACUGAGACACGGACCAGACUCCUACGGGAGGCAGCAGUGAGGAAUAUUGGUCAAUGGGCGGGAGCCUGAACCAGCCAAGUCGCGUGAAGGAAGAAGGAUCUAUGGUUCGUAAACUUCUUUUGCAGGGGAAUAAAGUGCAGGACGUGUCCUGUUUUGUAUGUACCGAAGGAAUAAGGAUCGGCUAACUCCGUGCCAGCCGCCGCAGUAACAC
rnacentral:rRNA from 1 species